ensembl:lncRNA
UUUAAAGACCUGAGGGAGCCGUGGGUGAGGGCGACGGGAGGGGCUCUGCAUGGAGGCUGGCAACUCCCAGGGCUGCUCUUCAGUACAGGAAGCCCAAGGAAGGAAUCUGGGAGAGGCCCAAAGUGCAGGAUGGAUCCUGAAGGGCCUGGAAAAACAGGUGAAGGAGUUGGGGUUGGUCCUAUAAAGGCAGAAUAACAACUGAAGGUUUUCGAGUAAGAGUGCAGCAUGGUCAGAUCUCGGCUUUAGCAAGGUUAUCAUAGACAUGAGUAUAGAAGAUGGAUUGGAGGCCAUCCGAUGGACGCAGGAGGAUAUCUAAGGAUAUUACUGCAGAGUCCUGGUAAGUGCUGAAGCAGCAUCAGCUGAGGCUGAGGGACCAGCUCAGAGCUCUUCUGCCUCCAAAGACCAACUUUACCAGCCUGGGUGAAGUGGGAUGAGUCAACAGGGUUUGGGGAGAGGGGGCAAUGGGGGGAAGUGGGAGCAGUUUUAUGCCACAGAAACUGCUCUGGACUUGGAGCCACGAGACCUGAGUUCCCACAGGCCGCUUUUGUGUACACAGUCAGAACCCUUCACUUCGCUGAGUCACAGUUUCCUCAUCUGGAAAGUAGGCAUAAGAAUUCUUGUUCUGACUCAAUUUUUUUGUGAGAUUUAAGCAGCAUGUAUGUGAAAGAUAACCCACAAGUAUUAUUGGUAAUCCAGUGGAAACUUUAAAAUGUCUGCACAAUUAAGUGACAGCCCAGAGACCAAAGACUUCAUCUCCUUGGGCCGAAGUGGUUUCCUUUGCUUGGCGAUGGGACUCCUAGCUCAAGCGUGUUCCCACCUCCACAGGACUCACUGACCCUCCUCCUCCUUCAAAGCCCAGCCCAGUGGCUCCUCCUUCAUGAAGCCUUCCUUCAGACUCCUGGCUGGAAAUAAUUGCUUCUUCCCUAGAAGAAGCACUACUUACUGCUCAUUCAGAGUCUCACCUCUGUCUCUGAUAGAGCUGCAGUUGGUGAUGUGUUCUGCUGCCCCCAGCCUCCUUGCUGACUUUUCUUAUUCCUCUUUGCCACACAAAGAACACAUUCCACACUUUUUGGUUGAAUGGUUAAAAUACCGAGUGUGUGAAUGACUGGGCUGUGGUUCCAUGGAGAAGUCUGGGAAGACAGCAGCCUUGAUCCAGAGAAAAGGGCAAGAGGGUUCUAUGUGAUGACAUGAGGGUCGGAGGCCUGGAAGGCUACCAAUAGGCUUUCAAAUUCUCCAAAGACAGAUGGGAAAUAAUGAGAGAGGUUAACUGUAUUUGCUCACAGUUGCUGCUGCUGCUGCUAAGUCACUUCAGUCAUGUCCAACUCUGUGUGACCCCAUAGACGGCAGCCACCAGGCUUCCCCGUCCCUGGGAUUCUCCAGGCAAGAACACUGGAGU